UUCUUAAUUGGCUAUCGAUUAUUUCGUCCCUCAUUGAUGGAUCGAACAUUAUCACUUUCGCUGGAACUUCUAGCAUUUCGCGCAUCCUUCUUGUUUCUCUAGUGCCUCCUCCACUGAGUCCUGGUCAUGGGGUGUUUUCCCAUGUAAUUCUGGGAGACAUAAGAGUAUUUCUUUGAAACUUGAGAAUUAUCUCGAUACGAGACGCCAACAUCAAUGUUCAUAACUUUCCAUU
rnacentral:lncRNA from 1 species